ACUUGAAAUUAAUUUCGAGCCUAAAUCUAGGCUCAAGCUCGGCUUGAAAUUAAUUCGAGCCGAGCUCGAGCGAGCCUAAUUUCGAGUCGAGCCGAGCUCGAGCUCUAAACGAGCCGAUUGAAAUUCUCGACAUUAUAUAAUCAUUAGUUUAAUUUUUAUAAAACAUUACCUACAAUUUGAUGCAACAUGUCCAAUAGUUCAAAAUAUAAAAUAAUUGCAAGAAAUAUGAGUUAGGGUGACUGCCUGACCGGGUGAGGGUCAAAGAGAGAGAGAAAGAGAGAGAGAGAGAGAGGGGGAAAAAAUUAGGAAUUUGAAAAUUUGAAUGUUAUAAUGUUUUAGAGUUAUGUACAAAAGUGAAAGUCUGAAAGAGAGAAUGUGUUAUGUAAAUUUAGAGUUGGGCUCAAUUGCACGGUUGUACUUGUUGGGUUUAUUUUAUGGGCCAACAAUAAUGACCCAAAUUAAAUUAAAACCUAUAUAUAAUUAAAAUACAUUAUAUAUAUAUAUAUAUAUA
rnacentral:lncRNA from 1 species